rnacentral:rRNA from 1 species
CAGCCGCCGCGGUAAUACCGGCGGCCCGAGUGGCGCUCACUAUUAUUGGGCUUAAAGCGUCCGUAGCCGGGUUGGGAAGUCCUCCGGGAAAUCUGGCCGCUUAACGGUCAGAAUGCCGGAGGAUACUCCCAGCCUAGGGAGCGGGAGAGGCCGAGGGUAUUCCCGGAGUAGGGGUGAAAUCCUAUAAUCCCGGGAGGACCACCUGUGGCGAAGGCGCUCGGCUGGAACGCGUCCGACGGUGAGGGACGAAGGCCAGGGGAGCAAACCGGAUUAGAUACCCGGGUAGUCCUGGCUGUAAACGAUGCGGACUUUGUGUCGGACAAGCUAUGAGCUUGUCCGGUGCCGGAGGGAAACCGUUAAGUCCGCCGCCUGGGGAGUACGGCCGCAAGGCUGAAACUUAAAGGAAUUGGCGGG